UUUUUGCGUUAUGUAAUUUGUGAAUGAGCCCAUAUUACUAUGACAUAUAGCUUAGCUGGUAGUAGCGCCUUACAGCACUGGUUCCCUUACACGGUUCCGGUUUAGACAGUGGACCUUUUCAAAAUAAUUUAAACAACAAUGUCAUCAACAUGGUACUUCUGUCAUCAACAUGAACAUAGCCACUUCGAGUCAUUCUUCCGAUGAUACACCGAUGACCCUGAAACGGAUCCGGACGAUGAAUUCGAGUCGUUGUGUGUAUGUCUAAGACGGUGAGCAAAACUGCAGUGGCACCGACCAAUGGAUUGCCCAAGGUGCUUUUGUGAAAAUUUAAUGAAUCCUUGCUCGAACUAGCAUAUGGCUUUACCGAAGAUGCUUCUUACAUGGUUCCGAUGCAAGCACUGGACGUCUUCAGAACUCUUAACAACAAAAAUGUUGAUGGCGUAGGCACAAUCAAUUUCGAUGAUUCCUGCAAACGACGACCACUGGACAGGUUUGGUAAAUCACGAAUAAUGUAUAUCCUAGGAGUCCUUGCUGAUGGGUAAAAAUGCAACCGGUGUGACCAAAGUGUGAGGGUGACUGUACAAAUUAAUCUGUGUCCAAACUGACAUGGAUUAGCUGGUAAGUAGGGUCCUAUGUAAGCAGCCCUCCUUAAAUUGAUUGGUAGAGGUUUUUGUUUCCCAGACAUUUCAAGAUUUCCACAAUAAAUUCCCAUAUUCUUAGAAGAACUCAACAUGGAUUUCCAGAAGGAAUUCGUAGACUUCCAGGGGAAAGCCCUAGAUUCGCAUUAGAAAUCUUUAGAUUGCCAAAAGAAAUCUGAAGAUUGAAGGAAAGAAAUCCUAUAUUCCUAAAAUAAAAGUGGAAUUCUCAGAAGAAUUUA